rnacentral:lncRNA from 1 species
GUGAGUCAUCCGCAUCUGGGGCUCCUUUCUCCCAUCCCGGCCCAAGCAGCAGUUGUGGGUGGUGGGAAGGGCACAGCCUUUGGCAUUUGGACCGAGCUUGAGCUCUGAAUUCUCACCUUCAGAUUUCACAAAAUUAAAAUGAUUCUCUUACUCAACCUCAUGGUUAGGAUGGACAACUUGGUUUGUGUCUAGUCCUCCCCCUGCUCCCAACUCUUUCCACUCGCUUAGCAGGUACUCCCACCCCCCAGGGUCUGAGUUCAGGCAGUCAGUGCUGAGGAGGUCUGAGGACAGAGCCAAGGCCAGGCAGCCCUUGUUUAAGUCUGAGGUCAGAGGCUCCGAUGCCACCAGGGUCCAGGACUCCUGAGUCGUGGGGGCAGGGAAGAACCCUCAGCUCCAAUCAGAGCAGUCAUGCCCCCCACUUGGUCUCUGGGUCAGACCCCUGGGUGCCUCACCCUGGAAAGAAUAUGUCCACCUGUAAACACAUCUGAGGGCUCCUGUUUGCACCUCUGGUUCGUAUGGAGCCUGUAAAUGAGGGGAGCCAGGAAGUGAGGCUGUUACCACAGAGGCCUCCAGGAGAUCAGAGAGGGACACUUAAGGUGUCCCAGCUGGACCCACCUGGACCUCAGUCUACCUUCUGGUCUGUCCCUGGGGUCCAAACCACUCCAAGCCCUCUGCUUUCAGGUACCUCCCACUCACCCAUCAGCAGCUGGGGUCCCCUCUGUGCAUGGCCUAGGCCUUGCCCACAGUUUUCAGAACCAGGACCGCUGGUUCUCUGGCGCCAUCUGGUGUCCAUAUGUGUGAACUGCAACUCCCGCACCGGCGGACACCACCUGGGAACUAUCCUUUGCGAAGGAGGGUCGGGUAGGGAGGCGGCCUCACCAGCAGCGACCCUUUGGCCCCACGUCUCUCACGAUAAGAACCUUUAUCACUUCCAGCCUCUUUAG